UUAAAAAAUAAAUUGGAUUAGUUUGGUUUGUGUUUUAUUUUUAUUUAUAAUGUGUUUCCAUAAGCUGGUUUUGAGAAAAAUAGCAUUUUUGUUGUUUGAUAUUUUUAUUCAGUUUAUUCUUUAUCAUAAAAUAGUUUGGUUUUGUAAAAAUAACCGAUUUAAAUCAUCUAUUUAAAUCUGAAACCAUGUAAAGCGAUUUCAUUUCUCUUAACUCCAUUGAUAUUUGAUCGAAAAUAAUUUCUUAACCUUUAGCUAAAAAAAUUAGUUUUUAGUCUCCUUGAUAAAAGAAUUUUGGUUAGUGUAUCAAAUCAAUAUUGUAUAGCCAUAAACUAAUUAUACAAAUGGAAUUAUUUAUCAUUUGAAAUAAACAAUGCAAAAAGCAUGUAUAUAUGUCUGUUUGUAUUUUUUGUAGAGAGGGCAGAAAUUGAAAAUGUAAAAUCAAUAAUUCUAAAUACAUAAAAAAGUUUUAAACUAAAUGUAGAUUUAACAAUGGUUUUAUAUGAAACAAAAGAUUUUAGCUGAAACUUAAGAAUAUUGACUAUUCAUCACUUUCCGUUAAUUUUAAUAAUAAAUAAACAACAAAGAGUGAGGGGUUGAUUGGUGGUUAUGUAGUUUUUGUUUUUGUUUUUACUUUAGAAAAUAAGCUGUGAAUUGUUUCGCUUCGGCUUUAAUUGUUUUGCUAUAUUUUUAUUUUCAAAGCACUAAAUAAAAUCUUUAGAAAAGUUGAUUUUGAAAACUAGUAUAUUAUUAUUUUUUAAAAAAAAAUUAUACUGUAUCUUUAAUUUUAAAACCUAAAAUAUAAUUGUUUUUUAAUUUUUUUUUUUUUGAAAAAAAGUAGAUGUCUAAAACAUUUACCACCAUUACCAAUCAACCCCUGAGUUUAUUCAUUUCAAAUUCGUUGGAAAACAUAAUAAAUUAAUUUGCGUAUUAUUACUUAUAUUUUUGGUAGUCAAUUUUGAAAUAAUAUAUAUACAUGCUUUUAUAAAAAAUAAACAAGCUAAAAUUAAUUAAAAAUUAUAAGAAGAAAUUUAUCCGGGCGUAGCGCGGACAAAGAGCCUAGUGUCCAUAAUGUCACAUUUAAGUAUUUAACUAGUAACAAUAGCAUCCCCAAAUACAGAUUGUUACACAAACAAAAUAAGUGUCAUAGAAUUUGAGAUAAAACAAUGAAUCGUUAAAUUCGAUAUAAAAAGCUUAGAUAACUUUUUUUUGUCAGCAAAAGAAAAAUCUAUAUAAUAAUAGUUGAGCCCACGUGUGCACAGUAUCGUGGGUCCCACUUAUUUUUUUUUUCCUGCCGAACUUUGUGUGGAUUUCGUAAUCAUUUGUUUUGUGUUGGGCUUUGUCGCAUGUUACUAGUUUGGCCCAUUACAUAUUUUCUCUUUAACUAUGUCUAGGGCUUUCUUUAUUCUUCCAGAUCGUUCUAUGCCAGAUCAUCACUCGAUCUCUUCGACUACUCACUCCAUACAUAUUCUCUACCAUCGAAACGAUCUCUCUUACUGUAACGCUUUGUCCACUCUCCUUUAUACAGAGGUCGUUGAAAGCCCUCUCUGAAAUAACAGGUGCUCCAGAAGAAUUCUUCUUUGACACCAGAGUUGUGGUCCCCUCUUAAUCGAACUGCGGUUCAAACAGUGGAGAGGAGGAUCUCCCAAAUUGCCUUGAAGAGCUAACUGGGAAGGAGUUUCUGUUUCAGAUCCUUGUCACACCUUUCAACUUCACACCCAAUCACCAUACCUUCACUGUCUCCACCAACCAUGGCAAGGUAGUCUAAUUUUUACUUGUCAAUAUGUCUACUGUUAAACGCUGUCAACCGUCUUUACUAUACGUUUUUAAAAACUACUACUAUCUUUACUUCCCAUUAUAAACUUAGGAUAUUUUUCCCCUUGCAUGUUUUCUUCCGUUCGGAUAUUUACUUCUGUUUUGGAUUAUUAAUGAAAUUUUGACGGGUUCUAAUUCAUAAAAUAUUAGCAAUUAGCAAUUGGUGUAUUGUUUUACUUUUACUAAUUUAUUCAAGAUAAAGACAAACGGCCGUUUAAACUUCAUAAAAGGAAAAGAAAUACCAAAGCGUUGUCGCCUUUUAUAACGACCUAUAAAUGGUUAACUCAAAAAGAGUUGUUUUGAAAGAGUAGAAUUUGUUCUGUUUUUGGCUAUUAUUAAAAGUCGUAGUUAACUAAACGAUACAAAACAUGACAUCUCCAUUCAAAAAACAUACACAGACGAUAUCAUUAACAUUGAAUUGAUUGCUACAACAUGUUUAACCCACUUUAAAUUUUAUAAAUUGCACUACAUAAGACCUAGAAGAUGAGAUCGUCAUAUAUAAGGCUGAUUGAGCCUACUAUAAACCUUUAAGAUUUUCGUUUUAUAUCUUUUUACCACCCAUGGCAUUGAGAAAACUGGUUACUAUUUAACACUAUAAUUGUAUUUGUUAUUCUCAGCUCACUAAAGCGUAGGAUAUUCAGACGUUGAUCGUUUCAUGUUAUUUUAUAACUUUCGAAUUUUAAUUUCUUACACAUGAUUAAUUUAAAUCAGUUAAUUUUUUUUAUAUUGGACCAUAAAUUUGGGCCGUAACCUAUACCAAAUUGAACUUUUUUAUAUUGGGCCAUAAAUUAUAUCAAAUUCUAUUUUUUGGUUGCUUAUUUCAGACUUUUUUUUUUCCACCACGAAUCAGUUUUAUUAAAGUCCAGUAAAAAAUCUUUUAAAAAAAUGUAACUAUAUAAUACUAUAUAAUUUAAUACAUUUCUAUAGUUAUUAAUUAUUUAAAACCAAUUUAUUAUAAUUCUAUAUUCUUGAUUUUAAAUAUGGGUAAAAUAAAUAAAAAAAUUUUUAUUGUUCGUACAAUUGUUAAUUUUUAAAAACCGAAUUUAAUAUCUUUUAACUUGUAUUUUUUUGAUUAAUAUACUAACAACUACCAAAUAACCAUCCCAUGAAUUUUAGCUUUUGAACAUAAAAUUACUGGUAAAGCUAAUGGUCUAUCGAAUCAUUAUGAGGAUAAUAUAUGAAAAUAUCUAACACAUGAAUUCUCUCGGCAUUCUUAUUUAACCUUAUCAUGAUGUGUGCCUUCAAAUGUUUCAUUCAUCACCAUCGUAAACAACACGAAAAAACAAAAGUUCAAAACAGAUAAACAACAAAAUCUCCGUAAAGGCGUAAACAAAACUGUACAACAGAUCAAGGCUAUGCAAGAGAAUGUCACAGCUCAUAUGGGCUAGUGUAUUUAAGAUGGCCUUUCUCGGGCCGAAGCUCAUUAUUGGAUAGAAAGGGUCCUUGGUAGGACGAUAUAUGAUCUAAUCAAAUUAAAUUAAAAGUAUAUAUAAGCUAUGUAAGUAACAACAAAAGAUUCGAUUUAACUUUGCCACGUAACGUAAGACAAGUAAUCAAGCAACUAUCUUUUUCCAAUUAAAAUACGGGAAAACAAACAAAUAAGCUCUAGUACUCUAGGGUUCUUCAGGCUGAAGAAAAGCGACUUAAAAUCCAAACCUGUACUUUCAGACAUGAACACAAGUAUACGAGCUCUGGUCUUGUCUAUGAAGGCUUUGAGUUAACUCAGCCGUUGGAUCGUGAUAGUUACUUUAGCAGCGGGAGAGUCUCCGGAGGAUUGAUGCCGGAGCUAUUUGCCGGUGAAUUGUUCUGUCUCCCUCCGUUCGUCUUCCCUAUCUGUAAGAAAAAUUCCUUAGAUUGUUUGUUAGCACAUAUACUUAUAUUAAAAAAAAAGAUAAGUGAUGGAUUUAACCGAAAUUGUGCAACUAUUACAUUCGUUUGGAACUUUCUAAAAAGAAUUCUUCUCUA